UAAAAGGGUCCCCUAGUCUUGAAAUUCCCCCCAUCCUGGGGAAAUGAUAGCCACCAUUAACUCUAUCCCUCAUUAUCAUACAAACUCAGACCAGGUUGCUUCUCAACCUCCUACGCUCCAGUGAAAAGUGUUCCAGCCUACCCAGCCCUUUCUUUGUAACUCACACCUUCCAUAUCUGGCAACAGGAGAAUCACAGAGGCCAUUCGACCCAUCAGGUCUGCAGCCAAAAUGCAUCCCACCCAGAUUUACCAUCCCCACCUUAUCUCUGUCAGGUCAUCCAGUGACCCGUAACUGCCUCCCCAGAAGGCAGGGGAAUGAGUCAUAGAAACAGACCCUUCUGUCUAGGCUGACCAAGUUCCCCAAACUGAACUCGUUCCAUGUGCCUGCAUUUGGCUAACGUCCCUCUAUGCCUUUCCUGCUCUUGUACCUGUCCCAAUGUCUUUUAAAUGUUGAAACUGUACCCACAUCCACCACUUCCUCUGGCAGCUUGUUCCGCCAGAGAAACUCUGUUGUGUGAGGAGGUUUCAAGCCUUGAGCUGUAGCAACGAGGGCAGGAGCGCACUCAGCUGAGGAAAAUGAAGCGGAGCGGUGCCAGAUGUUGGAUUCUCCCGGAGUAUGGGCGUCCUACCUGUGGGGUGCUUGAAACUGAUGGAAACAAAGAGUGGGAGUUCCACAUUCCAAGAGAGCCUUACUCACUGCCAGUUCUGAAGAUACACAGGAGCGAGGUGAAGAGUCAGAGCUGAAGGUUAACAGCCCAGCACUAAACAUGCGGCAGAUCAUGAGGGCAAGACUGAUUGGAAUCAGCAGCAGUUUCUAAAAGAAGCAAAUCCCAGUUAUGACUAGAUGUUAAGAUAUAACAUCGAACAUAGAACAGUACUGCACAAGGCAAGCCCUUCGGCCCACUAUGUUGUGCUGGCCUAUUAUCCUACUCCAAGGUCAAUCUACCCUACAUUUUACUAUCCUCCAUGUGCCAUCCAAGAGUUGCUUAAAAGUCUCUCAAGCAUCUGACUGCACUAUCACUGCCAUUCUACUUGGAGAGAAUCAUAAAUAAAGCUUCCGCUACGAAUAAAGGAUAAAGAAGCUUUCUUUGAAAAAGUACCAGCACUUUAGUGUUUUAACCAAGUCUGUGCUGACUCUCAGACUGCCAGGUCGACUGUAUUGGAGAUGCUGGGCGUCAAUCCUGGAGGUCUCGCUUACAAUCCAAGGAUCCCACUGCCACUCCUGCGCCAGCCUCCCCUCCACAUGUCUCCAGGACUCACCUGGACUUGUCGCCCCCAUGUUGGCCCCUUUUGUUCUCUAGCAUUCACCUCCAGUACAUUAAAGGUGAAAGUUUGAAAUAAAAGAGAAAGAGCAGAAUCGCAGAGGGGAGGUGAGAGUGACAGCCCUUGAUAUCAAGGCUGCAUUCAACCGAGUGUGGCAUCAAGGAGUCCGAGCAAAACUGGAAUCAAUGGGUGUCAGGGGCAAACUCUCUGCUGUUUGGAGUCACACAUGACACAUAGGAAGAUGGUCGUAGCUGUGGGAGACCAGUCAUCUCAGCUCCAGGACAUCUCUGCAGGAGUUCCUCAGGGUAGUGUCCUCAAUCCAACCACCUUCAGCUGCUUCAUCAAUGACCUUCCCUCCAUCAUAAGGUCAGAAGUGGGGACGUUCACCAAUGAAUGCACAAUGUUCAGCACCAUUCGUGACUCCUCAGAUACUGAAGCAGUCCACGUGCAAAUGCAACAAGAUCUGGGCAAUAUUAGGCUUGAGGCUGAGAACAUAUAUUCAAACCAGAGGCUAUGACAAUCUCCGAUAAGAGACAAUCUAACCAACACCCUUUGACAUUCAAUGGCGUUACCAUCACUGAAUCCCCCACUAUCAACAUCCUGGGGGUUACCAUUGACCAGAAACUCAACUGGACUCACCACAUUAACAGAGUGGCUUCAACAGCUGGCUAGAAACUGGGAACACUGCGACUCCCCACAGAAGCAAAAAGCUGGCCUUACGUGAGAAGAGCGCAUUAAUCAGGAGACUGAAAGGUGAGCCGGUCUGACGUUGCUGGCUUUGACCCAGCACCCUGGGCUGGAAAGCUGGGAUCACAAGUGCACGGGCUGUGUACAGAUACACACAUCUCAGAUACCUCGGCAUUUCAGCGGGCUGGGAGCUAAAUAGCUUAAAGCACAAGAAAAAGCAAUGACCACAAUACCACAAAAGAAGACAAAGGGCUGCAGAUACUGGAAGGCUGAAACCAAGAGACAACAUGCUGCAGAAGCUCAACAGGUCUGGUGACAUCCAUUGAGAGAAAGUAGGGAAAGGGUCACUGUGCUGAAUGCAGUGAUUCUGUUUUCCUCUGUACAGCGCUGCCAGAGCUGUUGAGUUUCUCCAGUGAUUUCUGGGCUAACAUUCCUCUUCGCAAACUCAACGCCGUGGGCUCAGAGAUGAGGACAGACUCCGAGGACGAAGCAUGUACACACAUGCUGAGGCAAGACAUGAGAAGAUGCACACAUGAGCCUGAGUGUGCUUAUCGAACAGCAUAGACAUAUGAGUGUCUCUGUGUGUAUCUCUGAGAUAGAGAGAGAGAGAGAGAGAGAGACAACAGGCAUGUGUGAGCCUGUCAGUGUUUGUAGCAUGCUUCGUGACAUGGGCACACACCAUCAGUAAGGGCUACACAGACAUUGAAGAUUUGGGCGACCACCAGGAAGAUUGAGUAAGUACAGGAGGGUAGUGCGGGCAGAUUCCUGUGGCCAUUCCCCUCUCCAACAGGAAUAUCGUGUUGGAUACUGUUGGGGGUCCUGGUAUCUCAAGGGAAAAAAGCAGCAGCAGCAGAAGCAGCUAGAUCAGUGGCACCCCCGACUGUCACUUCUGCACAGCGGGCGGAAUCAAAGUGUAGGCGAGCUCGGACAGGCAUCUCUGUGGACGCGAGCAGGACAGCAGGGUUGUGUGGUGCCGGGGUCAAGGAUGUCUCUGAGCGGGCACUGAAUACUCUGAAUGGGAAGGGUGAGCAGCCAGAAGUUGUGGUUCACAUCGGCACUAGCGACACAGGCAGAAGGAGAGAUAAGGUCCUGCAAAGGGAGUACAGCGAUUGAGGUAGGAGGUUGAAACACAGGGCCCUGUAGCGUUGUAAUCUCGGAAUUAUUUCCUGCGUUACCAGCCAGUGAGGCUAGGAGCAGGAUGAUUGUAUGGUAUAUAUGUAGCUAAAGAGCUGGUGUAGGAGGGAGGCCUUCAGGAAUGUGGUUCAUUGGGAUGUUGUCUGAGGCAGGUGGGACCUGUCCAAGGAGGAUGGGCUCCAGCUAAACUGGAGAGACACUAAUUGGAUGGCGGGGAGAUUUGCUAGUGCCACUCAGGAGAGUUUCAACGCGAGUGGCAGGGUGGCAGGAACCAGAGUGGGAGGUCAGCAAAUGAAAUGACCAAGAAGGAGUCAGAGACUGAUGGUGUGUGCCCAGAUCACGGUUAGGAGGAAGAACAGAGAGGGAAGGGAAAGUUACUGAUUAAACGGGGACUGGCAGUCAGGGCUGUCUUUGUUUCAAAUUGAGAAAAAUGACAGAUGAAC